rnacentral:rRNA from 1 species
CCUACGGGGGGCAGCAGUGGGGAAUAUUGGACAAUGGGCGAAAGCCUGAUCCAGCCAUGCCGCGUGUGUGAAGAAGGCCUUCGGGUUGUAAAGCACUUUCAGUGGGGAAGAAAGCCUUGGGGCUAAUACCCUCGAGGAAGGACAUCACCCACAGAAGAAGCACCGGCUAACUCCGUGCCAGCAGCCGCGGUAAUACGGAGGGUGCGAGCGUUAAUCGGAAUUACUGGGCGUAAAGCGCGCGUAGGCGGUCUGAUAAGCCGGUUGUGAAAUCCCCGGGCUCAACCUGGGAACGGCAUCCGGAACUGUCAGGCUAGAGUGCAGGAGAGGAAGGUAGAAUUCCCGGUGUAGCAGUGAAAUGCGUAGAGAUCGGGAGGAAUACCAGUGGCGAAGGCGGCCUUCUGGACUGACACUGACGCUGAGGUGCGAAAGCGUGGGUAGCAAACAGGAUUAGAUACCCCGGUAGUC